rnacentral:hammerhead_ribozyme from 1 species
AUCUGGCUGACGAGUCCCAAUUAGUACGAAACGAGCGUCAAACUGGAU